rnacentral:rRNA from 1 species
CCCAGGUCAGGCGGGGCUACCCGCUGAGUUUAAGCAUAUCAAUAAGCGGAGGAAAAGA